UCCAACCAUGAUGGCAUGCCUUGUUCCAUGCCUAGCCAUUUCAUGCCUUGGCUCAUGUCAAGCCUAACAUCAUCCCUGUAGCAAAUGAACUCAAAUGCAGUCACAUACAAGCAUUUUCACAUGUCAGCAGCAUAUAAAUACAACCAAGCCUAGUCAUGACAGCUCCAACAUACAAUGCAUUGCAAAAUUCAUCAUGCAUAUACAUAUACACAUGCUCAUGCAUAACCAUACCACUAUUAAUUCACUCACAUAGUUCCAACUAACUAAACUGAUUCAAUAACAGAAAAACCAAAAUGUUGUGUUUGUAACCUAUUAACCAAGAUGGUUAACCGGUUAUACCUAUGUUUCCAUGUUAUAUGUUUCCAUGUUAUAUGUUUCCAUGUUUCCAUGUUAGACAUAACAUUAUCAAUAUUUAACAUUUCAAAAUCACAUCAAGCAGCUAUAUGUUUCCAUGUUUCCAAAUUAGACAUAAUUCCAUAGCAUAUCAAUACCUCAAUUGAUCAACUCAGCCAACCAUCAUCCAUUCAAAGGCCAUAUUCACUAAUACACUAAUUAAUUCAAUAAAAAUAUACAUUCAUUCAAGUAAUACAAUCAUGUUUUAAGCAGUCCCAUAACAGAUCAAGUUACAUAGCAGUUCAAGCAUUUUAACAUCAAUAAGAUUUCCAUUCUUCUAACAUAACUAACUUACUAUAACUCUAACAUGGCUCAAAUUAAAAUCAAAUUAACUAACUAUUAACUAAUCAUUUCUAAUCUCACUAACAUCCCUAGCACACAACUAAUAGUUCCAUGACUAAUUCAAAUUAACUUUCAACACUGACAUCAUUCUAAUAGUUCAUUAACAUUCAACAAACUAAUUCAAUGACAAUCCCAAUGGUUCAAUAACACAAGCAGUUCAAUAACAAUUAACAAUUCCUAACAGCCUAACAAUUCUUAAGCUAACACUAAUAGCAAGUUAACUUUGUUAUUUCUCUAACUAAUUAUAUCUUUGAUUCAACUAACUUUAACCCCUACCCUAACCUCCAACGAACUCUACCCCAAUUUCCUGAAAUUGUUACAAUCCAAUUCAUCUAUAUAGUCUCAUUCCAUCUUCAAUCAGGAAAAUCUCACACACUCUGUAAAUUUUACUCUCAUCGCUAUUUCUUUCUGUAUUCAAUCUCCUUCACCUCACCACACUCAGAGCUUACAAAGUUCCUCUAUUGUCAAACAAGCUUCACCUUGAAGCUUGACACAACAAGAGAUGAACCUUACUCUACACCCUACUCUAAUCAACUACAACCAUACCACAAAUUCUCCCUACAAAUUAUAGACUCAAGAAGAAGAAGAAGAAGAAGAAAAGGAAACAUUCUGCAAGCACUGAGAAUUCAAAUUACUUAUCUGAUGAUUGUAUUCUCUGCUCUUCUUUUAUUCUUCAGCUUCAUCAUCUUCAUCUUGAACAAGAAUCAAGGCCAGCCUCCGUCUUAUAGGUAGGUCUUCAAAAACUCCACUUCUUUGCUCCAAUCAUGUUACCGCUAUGUAGAGUAGGAUGAGGGGAAUAAAAGCCCCAAGGUUGAAUGGCUUGGUUCCCCUCCGUUUGCGUUUAAUUCCAUUUUUAGGAUUUAGGGUUCUUCUUGAUUUUGGCCCAAAUUUGGAUUUUUGUUGAGGUUCAGAAGGAGAGAGUGUGAGAGAUGGAGAGAGAGGAUGUUGAGAGGUUUCAAGAGGUGGUGGUUUAUAGGCGUUCUAGGUUUCCCUACCGCCUCCGAUGCGGUAGAGCCAUUUUCAGUGGGGGAGGAAAUUUUAGAGAAAAUGAGAGAGGAUCAAUAAGGCUAGAGACAUGAAUUAGAUGAUUUGAACAUUCACUCUUCCUUUCCCCAUUCACAUUGGGCCUCAGGCACCCCAAGCCCAUAGGGCUUUGCUUCUUACACCUACACAUUGCUACUGCCCCUUCCCAUUUUGAAUGUUCAACAAGGCAUUAACACCUUGGGAAUGUUUUGUAUUAGCCUAGCAUGCAUU
rnacentral:lncRNA from 1 species